GAUGAACGCUGGCGGCGUGCUUAACACAUGCAAGUCGAGCGAAGCACCUUGAAGUUUUCGGACCAAGAGGUGACUGAGUGGCGGACGGGUGAGUAACGCGUGGGUAACCUGCCCUGUACAGGGGGAUAACAGCUGGAAACGGCUGCUAAUACCGCAUAAGCGCACAGGAAGACAUCUUCUGGUGUGAAAAACUCCGGUGGUACAGGAUGGGCCCGCGUCUGAUUAGCUUGUUGGCGGGGUAAGGGCCCACCAAGGCGACGAUCAGUAGCCGGUCUGAGAGGAUGAACGGCCACAUUGGAACUGAGACACGGUCCAAACUCCUACGGGAGGCAGCAGUGGGGAAUAUUGCACAAUGGGGGAAACCCUGAUGCAGCAACGCCGCGUGAGUGAAGAAGUAUUUCGGUAUGUAAAGCUCUAUCAGCAGGGAAGAUAA
rnacentral:rRNA from 1 species